CCUACGGGAGGCAGCAGUAAGGAAUAUUGGUCAAUGGAGGCAACUCUGAACCAGCCAUGCCGCGUGCAGGAAGACAGCCCUCUGGGUCGUAAACUGCUUUUAUUCGGGAAUAAACCUUAUUACGCGUAAUAAGCUGAAUGUACCGAAGGAAUAAGGAUCGGCUAACUCCGUGCCAGCAGCCGCGGUAAUACGGAGGAUCCAAGCGUUAUCCGGAUUUAUUGGGUUUAAAGGGUGCGUAGGCGGCUUACUAAGUCAGGGGUGAAAGACGGUGGCUCAACCAUCGCAGUGCCUUUGAUACUGAUGAGCUUGAAUGAACUAGAGGUAGGCGGAAUGUGACAAGUAGCGGUGAAAUGCAUAGAUAUGUCACAGAACACCGAUUGCGAAGGCAGCUUACUAUGGUUUUAUUGACGCUGAGGCACGAAAGCGUGGGGAUCAAACAGGAUUAGAUACCCUGGUAGUCCACGCCCUAAACGAUGAAUACUCGCUGUUAGCGAUAUACAGUUAGCGGCUAAGCGAAAGCGUUAAGUAUUCCACCUGGGGAGUACGCCCGCAAGGGUGAAACUCAAAGGAAUUGACGG
rnacentral:rRNA from 1 species